CAGUCGCCGCGGGAAUACGAAGGGUGCAAGCGUUAAUCGGAAUUACUGGGCGUAAAGGGUGCGUAGGCGGUUAGUUAAGUCUGUCGUGAAAUCCCCGGGCUCAACCUGGGAAUGGCGAUGGAUACUGGCUGGCUAGAGUGUGUCAGAGGAUGGUGGAAUUCCCGGUGUAGCGGUGAAAUGCGUAGAGAUCGGGAGGAACAUCAGUGGCGAAGGCGGCCAUCUGGGACAACACUGACGCUGAAGCACGAAAGCGUGGGGAGCAAACAGGAUUAGAUACCCCCGUAGUCCCUGUCUCUUAUAC
rnacentral:rRNA from 1 species